GCUCGAGGCUAGAGGAGUUUGGAUCAGCUCGGUGCCCCCUGGAGCCUCCUCUGACGUAGUCUGGUCCAGUGUGGCUCCCUCCAUGGCUGCCUCCGAGGUGGUCUGGUCCAGAAUGGCUCCUCCCACAGUCUCCUCUGAGGUGGUCUGGUCCGGAGUGGCUCCCCCGACAGCCUCCUCUGAGGUGGUCUGGCCCAGCAUGGCUCCCCCAAUGGCUGCCUCAGAAAUGGUCUGGG
rnacentral:lncRNA from 1 species